AGUACUCUGGCCCAUGUGCACUUACGUUUUGUUGUAUCGUGAGAAGUUAUGGGUCUUCUUAUAACUGCUGCCGGUGGACCAUUAAACUCUUGUUAUUUUAUGUAAUCUGAGCGUCUUAUUUUAAUAAGUCAAAACUUUCAACAACGGAUCUCUUGGUUCUGGCAUCGAUGAAGAACGCAGCGAAAUGCGAUAAGUAAUGUGAAUUGCAGAAUUCAGUGAAUCAUCGAAUCUUUGAACGCACAUUGCGCCCAUUAGUAUUCUAGUGGGCAUGCCUGUUCGAGCGUCAUUUCAACCCUUAAGCCUAGCUUAGUGUUGGGAAUCUACUUCUUUAUAGUUGUAGUUCCUGAAAUACAACGGCGGAUUUGUAGUAUCCUCUGAGCGUAGUAAUUUUUUUCUCGCUUUUGUUAGGUGCUAUAACUCCCAGCCGCUAAACCCCCAAUUUUUUGUGGUUGACCUCGGAUCAGGUAGGAAUACCCGCUGAACUUAAGCUAAUCAAUAAGCGGAGGGAA
rnacentral:rRNA from 1 species